rnacentral:rRNA from 1 species
UACGAAGGGGGCUAGCGUUGUUCGGAAUUACUGGGCGUAAAGGGCGCGCAGGCGGCUCUUCAAGUCAGAUGUGAAAGCCCCGGGCUCAACCUGGGAAUGGCGAUGGAUACUGGCGAGCUAGAGUGCGGUAGAGGAGAGUGGAAUUCCCGGUGUAGCGGUGAAAUGCGUAGAGAUCGGAAGGAACACCAGUGGCGAAGGCGGCUACCUGGACAGAUACUGACACUGAGGCGCGAGAGCGUGGGGAGCAAACAGG